rnacentral:lncRNA from 10 species
GCUGAGCCAGGUUCCCUCACAGGGUUCCUCUCCUUUAGCCAGGGAGCUUCUUCCUCCAUCUUGUGUUUGCAAUUUGGAAGAGGGUGGCCAGCAUGGGCCUGACUGAGAGACUGACAUUUGUGCAAAGACUGAAGUAGCGUGAGCCCUGAGGGCAUCUGAGGGAAGGGAAUUCCAGAAAGAGGGAAUAGCAAGUUCAAGCAUUGGAGGCAGACGUGAGUCGGGCCAGGUGGCAAGUGUGCCUAGAAUAGAGUAAACAAAAGGGAGAGAAGCAAGAGGCAAAGACAGAGGGAAUGCACACUUUGUGUGGGAGUAAGGGAGGUGUGAACUGUGCUGAAAUAGUCAUACAUUUCCUUGGAAAUUCCACAUCCAGACACUGCAGUUUGUUUGCUCUGCUGUUUGUUGACACUGAUGUCCCAGUUCUACUAAUUGGCUUACCUGUUGGUUCCUGAGCCCCACUCCCCACCCUGCCCUCAGGUCUGGUGUUGGUGUCCCAACCUCAUUCCCUGUCUUGGUAACCAGCUCUGUAGCCUCGUCUCUCCCAGCUGCCACCUGGGAAUGGGGACCUGUCGUGGAAUCCUGGUCUGGGCUAGAGAGUGCUCCCAGUUCAAACCCUGCGGGGACUACAGGACCAUGAAGAGGAGAGACUGGAACAGGGAAUCCAGGAGCUCUUCCUUCAGCCCUGGUGCUAAGGCGGUCUUCCUGAUGUCUCCCAAACCACACACCUUUACCUCAGCUUUUCUAUCUUUCCCCUGA